rnacentral:rRNA from 1 species
UUGGAGGGCAAGUCUGGUGCCAGCAGCCGCGGUAAUUCCAGCUCCAAUAGCGUAUAUUAAAGUUGUUGCAGUUAAAAAGCUCGUAGUUGAAUUUCGGGAUCUAUCCAUUGGUCGGGCCUCACGGUCCGUACUGGUGUUAUGGAUUCCUACCUUCUGAAUAACCGGGAUGUCAUUAAUUUGGUGUGCCGGGGAAGCAGGACUGUUACCUUGAAAAAAUUAGAGUGCUUAAAGCAGGCUUUUGCCUGAAUACAUUAGCAUGGAAUGAUGAAAUAGGACGCAUGAUUCUAUUUUGUUGGUUUCUAGGAUCACCGUAAUGAUUAAUAGGGAUAGUUGGGGGCAUUAGUAUUCAAUUGUCAGAGGUGAAAUUCUUGGAUUUAUUGAAGACUAACUUCUGCGAAAGCAUUUGCCAAGGAUGUUUUCAUUAAUCAAGAACGAAAGUUAGGGGAUCGAAGACGAUCAGAUACCGUCGUAGUCUUAACCAUAAACUAUGCCGACUAGGGAUCGGACGAUGUUAAUUUUUUAAUGACUCGUUCGGCGCCUUACGGGAAAC